UGCGCGUCGUAUCCAUAACAACGGAGUUGUUGCCUACUAUUCUUCUACACACUCAAAAGUAUGUAUAAGUAGGCGAAUUGGGACGCAGCAAAACACAAAGUGUCUCUCGUGCGCUGCUUCAAACAUGGAGCUUGCACCAGCAUCCUACUACGGACCCCUGGAUAAAAACAACCUCGUCCUGUCAGCUUUUCAAAGUGCAUUAAACUGUUUGAGACAUGGAUUAAGUAUAAAUCUCGCCUUCCUCCCUCUUAUUUCGAAAAGCACCUGUUGCAAACAGCAGAUUUCCUCCUUGACUCAAAGGUUUUGGUGAUUCUGAUCACACUUUUGAUGAGAGCCUGCCUCCCUCCUUAAAUCCUUCCUCCUCUCUCUUUGACACAGCUGUUGCUGGGGAGUGCUUGCAUUUAAUUUGCCACUUAUUUUCCUUUACUCUUAUUUGGGUUUAUGUGUUAUAAAGGGUCUUUGUUUUGUGUCUCUCAGGAAAGAGUAAGAUUGCAGUAGAUGCUGUGAAUUUUGUGAAGCAGCUCUUCAGAUAUGAACAGUGGAGCAUGUUCAACUCGCUCUCUAUGGCACUUACGUCAGCACUAGAUAACGUGGAAGGCUGCGCAUUUAGGAAGUAUGAGCUUGAACUGAGGACUUUGGAGGCUGUGGAGCAUUUGAUGUCCACGCAAAGAGUUAAAUGAAAGAAUUUUCAUUUCGGUCCGUUCAUACAAACUAUCUGAUUCCUGGUCAGAUGAGAUGAGUUUGAUGGAAUUUAAGAAGUCACAUGCGGUUCAAGCACAGCCUCAGAAACAAAUAGACCUACAGGAGCGCAGAAGGCCCUGUUGACAUUCAGGAAAAACCAGAUGAGCCGAGAGACCAAGAAAAUACUUGAGGAGGCCGUAACGCUAAUGGAGAAAGCUGAGCUUGAAGAGAGGAGGCUGGUUAGUAGUGC